rnacentral:rRNA from 1 species
CGAAAGCCUGACGCAGCGACGCCGCGUGGAGGAUGACGGCCUUCGGGUUGUAAACUCCUGUCAGAGGUGAAGAAAGUCCUUCGGGACCUGACGGUAACCUCAGAGGAAGCCCCGGCUAACUACGUGCCAGCAGCCGCGGUAAUACGUAGGGGGCAAACGUUGCUCGGAAUUACUGGGCGUAAAGUGUGUGUAGGUGGCUGAGCAAGUCUUAGAUGAAAUCCCGAGGCCUACCCUCGGAACUGUCUUCGAUACUGCUCAGCUUGAGGAUGGUUGAGGAGAACGGAAUUCCCGGUGGAGCGGUGAAAUGCGUAGAUAUCGGGAGGAACACCAGAGGCGAAGGCGGUUCUCUGGGCCAUUCCUGACACUGAGACACGAAAGCUGGGGGAGCA